rnacentral:lncRNA from 1 species
UAUUAGGUUCUUUUCAAAGACUAUUCUAUGUUUUUUGUUACAACUGCUGUUACCAGAUUCUAAAUUAGUAAACGUAACAGAAAACUGCCAUGAACCUUGAAUUCAUAUUUCUUGGCAGCAUUGUGCUUGCAACCAUUUUUGUAUUCCUGAAGAUUUUACUAGAGGAUACUUUGCCAUAAAGAUAACAGACAUUGCUGGAGAAUACCGCUGAAGUUCUCUAGGUAAGAGAUUUCAAACUGGCCUCAAUUUUUUUUUCAGUCUAUGCUUCCCCAAGUAGUACAUAUCUAUGUUGCUC